UGCGUAGGCGGGUCUUUAAGUCAGGGGUGAAAUCCUGGAGCUCAACUCCAGAACUGCCUUUGAUACUGAGGAUCUUGAGUUCGGGAGAGGUGAGUGGAACUGCGAGUGUAGAGGUGAAAUUCGUAGAUAUUCGCAAGAACACCAGUGGCGAAGGCGGCUCACUGGCCCGAUACUGACGCUGAGGCACGAAAGCGCGGGGAGCAAACA
rnacentral:rRNA from 1 species